ACACUCCGAGGCUUCUGAACAUCUUCCACUCCAAAGGUGGAACCAUGGGGUUGAGGUUGCAGGCCAUCCUACUCAAGGCUCCAAGCAACCAUAGCAUCAGCAUGACCAGAGAUGUUGUCAUUCGGUGUUUGAUGGUGUACCUUGGGGAAUCCACAGAUCAACUCUUAAAGGAGUAUGAUGAUGCUGAUGAAGACAGUGUGUCGCAGGACCUUGCUGU